AGGAGAAGAGAGAAGACCUCUUAAAUAUAUUCAAACCUCACCAACUCACCCACCCUUCUUUCUCUCUCACUCUCUCAUAACUUCCAUUGAUGAAUCAUGAUCAUGCAUGAAGGUUAAUAGUGUUCAUGCACAAAAUUGUUGCUAUAUGAUUCAGAUGUGGAAUUGUAUGCCUUGGACUAGCUGAUCUGCCACUUUUUGUUUCACAGCUAAAUAUUCUUGCAACUCAGCCCCUCCAGAAUCAACUGCGCUAAAUAUUCCAACGAAAGCAUGACACAAGGGUUGCGGCCGAUGUUCCGGAAACGACGACGGAAGCAAAUGGCUGGUGUUUUCAACUACCUUUCUUCCAAAAUCUCUUAUUUUUCCUUCCUUGUCAAUCUUCUCUUACAUUAGCUUCUCAUCCCUGUGAUAUUGGCGGCACGGCUCAAUCUCUUCCUUUUAUUUAAAAUUUUUAUUUUUAUUUUUAUUUUUUACUUUUUUUUAUCAUGUGUUAGAUGCAUGCGAUUCUUGGCUUCUUCAGCUUUAUCUAAUUGGAUAAUAUAUUCAUGCUAACCUCUCCAGCUUUGUGGUAUUGUUUCAUGAUUUUAAAUCUUUCAACAAAUUAAACCAUUUUG